rnacentral:rRNA from 1 species
GAUGAACGCUGGCGGCGUGCCUAAUACAUGCAAGUCGAGCGAACAGACGAGGAGCUUGCUCCUCUGACGUUAGCGGCGGACGGGUGAGCAACACGUGGAUAACCUACCUAUAAGACUGGGAUAACUUCGGGAAACCGGAGCUAAUACCGGAUAAUAUAUUGAACCGCAUGGUUCAAUAGUGAAAGACGGUUUUGCUGUCACUUAUAGAUGGAUCCGCGCCGCAUUAGCUAGUUGGUAAGGUAACGGCUUACCAAGGCAACGAUGCGUAGCCGACCUGAGAGGGUGAUCGGCCACACUGGAACUGAGACACGGUCCAGACUCCUACGGGAGGCAGCAGUAGGGAAUCUUCCGCAAUGGGCGAAAGCCUGACGGAGCAACGCCGCGUGAGUGAUGAAGGUCCUCGGAUCGUAAAACUCUGUUAUUAGGGAAGAACAAAUGUGUAAGUAACUAUGCACGUCUUGACGGUACCUAAUCAGAAAGCCACGGCUAACUACGUG